CAAAGGAAGGUUAUAUAUCAGGCAUGUCUCCACUUCACUCACAACGUACAGUAUGUGAGAAAUGGAUGCCACAGUGAAGCCAUUUCGGAAGGGCUGUGCAUUAGGCUGUGCAUUAAGUGGUCUCUUCAUCAUUGUCCUCUACCUCCUUUGUACCGGCCCAGACAACCCCUACUUCCCGCACCACCUGGCUACACCACCCGGCUACACCACCGGGGCUGCAGGAGCCCAACAGCACCGAGCUCAACGCAGUAGAGGAACUGCUGUAGAGAUUGUUGGAGUGUUCAGGGCUUUCCCUCGAUGUCUUUGACCCCCUCUUCGGCGUCCUCCACCUCCCGACUUGAGCUGCAGACACACGGGAAUACCACAGUGAGCCAGCUGAAUGAACUGAAGACGUCAGGCACUGAAGUAUGCAUGCUCAGAAGACAUUGGUUUAGAAAGGGAAGAAACCGACAUCAAAACAACAUCCAAGCUUAAGAAGACAAGAAGACCUCAUCAUGACUCCCACGGUCUGCAGAAAACUCUUUUACCUUGUUCUCUUUGUUGCCAUCUUUACAUAGAGCCUCCUCCUCUGCCACUGUCUGACGCAGCAUGCCAAGACAGGGAGAGAGGGAGGGCAGGAGAGAUGGUAGCAGAAAAGUAAAGUGUUAAAGUUGAAGGAAAGAGCACAAAGGGCAGAGAGGACGAGAGUAAAUGAACGAGGAGGACAGGUGUGACCGUAAGAGGAGACAAAAGCAGGAUAUGACGGACAGGGUAAGAAGGCGAAUGAAAGGUAAGACCGGUAAGAGAGGAGACAGUGAAGGAGAAAUGAACUGGCAUAUUUAAAGUCAAGAGCAGGAAGAAAAGGAAACGAGUAGCAUUUGAAAUGGCAACAUUCAAACUGCCCAUGGAUUUAACAACAAAUACAAAUACUUUUAAUCACUAUACUGGAUAAAUAAAACAUGUUCAAACCAGGAAAUGUCUCA